AUUGAACGCUGGCGGCAGGCCUAACACAUGCAAGUCGAGCGGAUGAAGGGAGCUUGCUCCUGGAUUCAGCGGCGGACGGGUGAGUAAUGCCUAGGAAUCUGCCUGGUAGUGGGGGAUAACGUCCGGAAACGGGCGCUAAUACCGCAUACGUCCUGAGGGAGAAAGUGGGGGAUCUUCGGACCUCACGCUAUCAGAUGAGCCUAGGUCGGAUUAGCUAGUUGGUGGGGUAAAGGCCUACCAAGGCGACGAUCCGUAACUGGUCUGAGUGGAUGAUCAGUCACACUGGAACUGAGACACGGUCCAGACUCCUACGGGAGGCAGCAAUGGGGAAUAUUGGACAAUGGGCGAAAGCCUGAUCCAGCCAUGCCGCGUGUGUGAAGAAGGUCUUCGGAUUGUAAAGCACUUUAAGUUGGGAGGAAGGGCAGUAAGUUAAUACCUUGCUGUUUUGACGUUACCAACAGAAUAAGCACCGGCUAACUUCGUG
rnacentral:rRNA from 1 species